AUGUCGAGCCUCGAGGAGCCGCUGGGUCUUGGAGACCUGUCCAAGUUGAGUAUUAACAGACUCAGGCGGUUCGUGUCGCUGGGCGCUCGGAGGCCACCGGCCGACGACGACGACCACAGCACUGGCAAAUUUGUAUCUGGUGCUGAUGACAUUGCUGCUGUUGUCAAUGGUCUUGGUAGGAUCUUUGUUUUUGUGAUUACUGGUACAGUUACUGCUUCCAGAAGUUGCAAGCUGAAGCCUUCUAUGAGAAUAUCAUCAUGGAAUCGAUCGAAAAGUUGGAGCGACGAGAUAACAGUGUUGAUUGAUUCUGAUAUGCUGAAAAGUCUACCAAAAUUAAGUCGCCAGGAGCUUGAAGUGGCCUGUGAGGAUUUUAGCAACAUCAUUGGCUCAACUCCAGAGACAGUAGUCUACAAAGGAACCAUGAAGGAUGGACCUGAAGUUUCUGUGAUAUCGUUGUGCACCUUCGAAGGUCAUUGGACUAGCCACCAUGAACUCUUUUACCAAAACAAGGUCAUUGAUCUGGCAAGAUUGAAUCAUGAGAACAUAGCAAAGUUCUUAGGAUACUGCAGGGAGAGUGAUCCAUUCUCUCGGAUGCUAGUCUUCGAGUACGCACCAAAUGGGACGUUAUUUGAGCAUCUACAUUAUGGAGAGGGAGGCCAAUUUUCUUGGCUCAGGUGAAUGAAGAUAGCCAUUGGAAUUGCCCAGGGGUUAAGAUACCUACACACGGAGCUGCAGCCCCCAUUUGCUAUAUCUGAGCUGAAUUCGAACUCCGUGUACGUUACGGA